CCAAUAGCGUAUAUUAAAGUUGUUGCAGUUAAAAAGCUCGUAGUUGAAUUUCGAGACCGGCUUAUUGGUCGUGCUUUUGUACGUACUGGUAUAAUCGGUUUCUCCUUUCUGACGAACUAUAAUGCCAUUAAUUUGGUGUUAUAGGGAAUCAGGACUGUUACUUUGAAAAAAUUAGAGUGUUUAAAGCAGGCUCACGCUUGAAUACAUUAGCAUGGAAUAACGGAAUAGGACGUUUGAUUCUAUUUUGUUGGUUUCUAGGAUCGACGUAAUGAUUAAUAGGGAUAGUUGGGGGCAUUAGUAUUCAAUUGUCAGAGGUGAAAUUCUUGGAUUUAUUGAAGACUAACUACUGCGAAAGCAUUUGCCAAGGAUGUUUUCAUUAAUCAAGAACGAAAGUUAGGGGAUCGAAGACGAUCAGAUACCGUCGUAGUCUUAACCAUAAACUAUGCCGACUAGGGAUCGGAUGAUGUUAAUUUUUUAAUGACUCAUUCGGCGCCUUACG
rnacentral:rRNA from 1 species